rnacentral:lncRNA from 1 species
AAACCCGUCUUGGUCGUUCUACCGUAACGAGCAACUCACCGCACAAUGAUGGACUUUGCUACUAAUACCCCACCAUUACAAUCACCACCAUAACUACGACCACCACCACCACUACCACAAUAACUUAACAACAAUAGCAACCAAGAUAGAAUCCCUGCAGGUAUGCGGCUUUGAAGUUGUAUUUCUUCGGGACAACGAAAUCACGAGCAGCCAUAACUGUGGAAGGCUGACAGAGGGCGUUCGAAUAGGUCGGCCAUGUCUAAUUAAUUCCAGAGUCGGUGUUAUAGAAAAAAAAAGAAAAGAAAAAAGAAAAGGUAUCUGAUCUUUGAAUACAUUUAAUUUCAAAAUUACGCCUGCGUCCAACAUGUAUGAAUAUAAAAUUAUGCGAACUUAAUUAAAACAGAAAAGACAUAUGUAAA